CCUCCGCCGUGAUAUGCGUGCGCGACGCCCUCUCUGCUUGUUAUUCUCUUGAACAAGAUGGCUGUCGUUCUCGAGAACGGUGUUCUGACAUUCAGCGUCUAUAAAUGGAGCUCUUACUCCUCUACAUAUUUACCCGAUUUUGGUUUUUCCAUCAAACACAAGUUACUUGACCUGGAAGGGACCUGUGACACUGGAGCUUCACACAGGCGAACAUUAAACUCUCCACAUAUCAACAGAAAUAAGAGGGUAUCUCUGAAACCAGAAGACAUGACAACAGAGAAAAUAUAAUUUUCAGAUGGUGAUUAAAACUACUUUGACCACAUCCCCAGAGGACAUAAUGAAGUGCAUGGUGACGGCACCGCAGUGGAAAAAUCGGAUGGGGUACUUCCCACAGUCCAGCCUGUAUGUUUCUCUUUCCACCACCCAACCAGCGCAGCCACAAGCUCCUCUCCAAGGAGCACCAUGAACAAAACAUUUGGGAGCUGAAGAGAAGAUAUUGAGGAGGUUGUCAAUGCCACCCAAGCAUUAAGAAGUGUCAAAGAUGAUAAAGGAUCCACAAUGACAACAACUCUGUCUCUUUCAGAGGCUAAAUUAGCUUCUUACGAGUGGUCUUUGCCUGCCUUGUCUGCAAAGGUCGUGUAGAUAAGCCACUGUUCUCAACCUGCUGCAGAAGCCUAAUUGGGUGUAAGGCAUGUAUUGUGACGUGGAACAACAGCCACAGUUAGCGCACAAAGUGUCGCACUGUGGAUUUGAAGUGGCUGGACUGCUGUUUCUACUCUCUUUUCCAGUACUGUCAUGUUAUCGUAGCACUCUGGUUUGCAAGAUUUUAUACUUGAAUGCUUUUCUUAUUGUACUGUAUGAUACAACUACUACCAUACCUUACCAGCAUUGUUUUGUAAUGUAGCAUUGUCUAAUGUCAAAGCACUUUAAACGGGCUAAAGGCCGAUACCCAAGUCAGAGACGAGUUCUGUCAAGAUUUGUGCUGGACAACUACCAGCUACAAGUUGGUUUGGUACCCCUCUGCCUAAAAUGUGUAAAACAAUCACUUUAGUUUUGGACACAAAUAAUUUCAUACUUUACCUGGUAUCUUAUGGGCGUUCCAGGACUGUACAACUUUUUCAAGUCCAAUCUGACUCAUUUGACAUGCCAGGUUGGAGACAGUAUUUGGUGACAUCCUGCAUGUCGAGUAACUCCUGAUCCACCAGGUGAACCAGGGCCUGUUUUAGGGUAUAGUUUCCCCAAUUAUUGACCUGGUCAGAUUCUUUCCACUCAAAAAAUCUGUUAAACAAAAUAAAAACUUUAAAAGGUAUUUAAAAACACAGGAUUAUUUUACAACCCCAAAUCUUAUAAGCAGACAAACUUUAAUCUUGAAUUUAAUUGUAGACUGUGUGAAGUGAUUUCUGCUUUGAUUGCUGUAUAAAUAUCC